rnacentral:rRNA from 1 species
GUGCCAGCAGCCGCGGUAAGACAGAGGGUGCAAACGUUGUUCGGAAUUACUGGGCAUAAAGAGCACGUAGGUGGUUCGUUAAGUCACGUGUGAAAUCCCCCGGCUCAACCGGGGAAUUGCGCGUGAUACUGGCGAACUCGAGGCGGGUAGGGGUGAGCGGAACUCCAGGUGGAGCGGUGAAAUGCGUAGAUAUCUGGAGGAACACCGGUGGCGAAAGCGGCUCACUGGACCCGAUCUGACACUGAGGUGCGAAAGCUAGGGUAGCAAACGGGAUUAGAAACCCCCGUAGUCC